CUUGUUUUCAGGUCUCAGAGCUCAGGUGGAGAAAGUUAAAUACUGCAGUGGUAAUCUUUUUCUUUUCUUUUCCUGGGCUAACGUUCUUUGAAACUAUUGCUGGAGCGCUGGGCUUUUUGGGAAAACAAGGGAGCCUUAGUAAAGGUAAAGGGACCCCUGACCAUUAGGUCCAGUCGUGGCCGACUCUGGGGUUGCAGCGCUCAUCUCGCUUUAUUGGCCGAGGGAGCUGGCGUACAGCUUCCGGGUCAUGUGGCCAGCAUGACUAAGCCGCUUCGGGCGAACCAGAGCGGUGCACGGAACCGCCAUUUACCUUCCUGCCGGACUGGUACCUAUUUAUCUACUUGCACUUUGACAUGCUUUUGAACUGCUAGGUUGGCAGGAGCAGGGACUGAGCAACGGGAGCUCACCCCGUCACGGGGAUUCGAGCCACCGACCUUCUGAUCAGCAAGUCCUAGGCUCUGUGGUUUAACCCACAGUGCCACCCGUGUCCCAAGAGCCUUAUGGCACUUAAAAAAACUAUGGGUGAGAUUCACGUAAUGAGCCUUGUCAGCAGAAGUCCCACACAAGGACUUCAAUGGGGCAACGGGGCUUUGCCCCUUCUUCCCCUGUGCAUCCCCCAAAAUUGAGCAGGGUGCAAGGAGGGAUAAUCCUGAACAGCAAAUGGAAAUGCUUGUGCAGAUGGAACAAUUAGAAGCGCACAACAUUUGAUUACCCCCCCCCCUAAGAAAUUGUGGCAUAAGCCAGCGGGUAAUGAACAUGUUGCCUGGCAGCUAUUGGGACAUUUCUUAUCCCCGUCCCCUGGCCAUGCUACCUGAUGGCAGCUGUAGUCCAAUGGCAUCUGGAGGGACUGAGGCUCCCUAUAAGCUGUUGUGGACCAGAGUGCGCCUCAUCAGAUGCCAGAAAUGUUAUCCUAAGACGGCAAGCGCGUGCACACACACUCAUUGUGUUCCGUGGAGCUUUUACCCAAAUAAAUAGGCAUUGAGUUACAGUGAAGUCCUUAUUUUAUUCAGCAUUCUUCAGUUACAAUGCAGAUUUCAUCCCUCAGUGGUAGCUUUGCAAGGGAGAGCGCGGGAGAAAUUGCAUUUCCAAAAGAUCUUCCACUUUUUAAAAACGUUAUUUAAUAGAUGUUUCAUGUUCCUUUCAGAUAUACGUGAACCAAAUCCUGUAUUACAAUACUGUUCCUUGCCUGCCUUUUCCACAUGUAAAAUUACCAUAUGACUAGUGCCUUUUAAAUAGCUAGCUAUAUGGAACUGGCGGAAAUGACUGGCAGAAUCCGUGACCAGGGAGAAGAGUCGGUGGAGGAAGAUUGGAAGAAAUUCAAAGAUUAUCUACAGAAACACUGCAAAAUUAAAGAAUGUUAGAGUGAUGUUGGAUUGAAAAUAAGUGGUUUCCAGCUGUACAGGAUUUAAAGUUAUAGAUAGAUUAAGAUUAAAGAUUAGGAUUAAAGAAGUUUAAGGAAAUGGAAAUUUGGUACUUAAGAGGUAAAAUUUUAAUGCUAUAUUACAUUAAGAUUAAAGAUUGGGAUUAAAAAAAGUGGAAAAGAAAUUGCUGGACAAACAAUUUGGACUGGAAUAUAAAAGAGGGAGGUAUGAGGAGGUCCAGAAAAUAAGUAAAUUUAAAAACGGAAAUGAAAAGGUGAUAUUGUUUUUAAUUGUUCUGCUUCUUUUUUUGUUUUUUGUUCUCUGUGUUUUUUUUUUCUUUUUUGGAAUAUGUACUGUGUAUUUGUGUAUUUCUUUUUUAUGUUUUUCUGUUUAACUUUUUACUGAAACCUUAAUAAAAAUCAUUUUAAAAAAUAAAUAAAUAAAUAAAUAGCUAUAGUGGCUAAGUUCACAUGUUUAUCAUAAGCUAGGCUUAAUAAACAGCAAUGAGAAUUGGUAGCAUGCUGGUGAGUGAAGCCUAUUUACUUCUUCCUUCAUGUGAUUGAGUAAACAAACCAGGAAUCACUUCCUGUGGUGUCCAAGCUGGGAUUUUGUUGCUCCCCAAAAGGUCAGAUUUGUAAGCCAACAACCUCUGUUUAAAAGCUGUUUUUUUUUCUAAUCCUGCCUUAUUUGGAUGCAACAAACCAGAAUUUCAGGUUUGGACAUUAAGCAAAGUUCUCCACUCUAACUAGUUGCAUGAGUUAACUACAGCUCCCAUUCUCCUUGACCAUUUGUCCUGCUUCCUGGGGCAGUUGUAGUUCAGCAAAAUCUGGAGAAGCAAAGGCUCUCCACAUCUAACAUUGUUGGCUGACAUCCGAUAGGUCACAUUUAACGUUGUGGUUUAUUAAACCAGGAUUCAUGGCUUGUGUGUGAACAUACCCAUUAAGUACACAGGCUUCUAUUCUGAGUUUGCUCCUGCUGACAGAAAAGGAGACAGCUUUCACCAAUUUCCCCUCCCCUUGCGGCCCCUUGGAAAUCUGUUCUCUAAGGUUGAACGACCCUCCAAAAUAUUGCAGCAGGCUGGAGGGAAAUAUUAUAUCGAAAGCUGUUUUCUUCUUCCACCAGCAGGAUUCUCUGCUGGAUCUAAGGCAUGGGUAGGCAAACUAAGGCCCAGGGGCUGGAUCUGGCCCAAUCACCUUCUAAAUCCGGCCUGUGUACGGUCUGGGAAUCAGCAUGUUUUCAUGUGAGUAGAAUGAGUGCUUUUAUUUAAAAUGCAUCUCUGGGGUAUUUGUGGGGCAUAGAAAUUCAUAUAUAUAUUUUUCCAAAAUAGAGUCCAGCUCCCCCACAAGGUCUGAGGGACAGUCUGCUGAAGGGACAGUCGGCCCCCUGCUGAAAAAGUUUGCUGACCCCUGAUCUAAGGCUUCCAUGAAUGAAGAGUCUUUCCAUUUGCAGAAGGCACACUUACAACCAAAGCC